GAUGAACGCUAGCUACAGGCUUAACACAUGCAAGUCGAGGGGCAGCAUGAACAUAGCUUGCUAUGUUUGAUGGCGACCGGCGCACGGGUGCGUAACACGUAUCCAAUCUGCCCGUCACUCGGGGAUAGCCUUCUGAAAGGAAGAUUAAUACCCGAUGGGAUGCAUUUCCGGCAUCGGAGAUGCAUUAAAGAUUUAUCGGUGACGGAUGAGGAUGCGUACGAUUAGCUUGUUGGCGGGGUAACGGCCCACCAAGGCAACGAUCGUUAGGGGUUCUGAGAGGAAGGUCCCCCCACACUGGAACUGAGACACGGUCCAGACUCCUACGGGAGGCAGCAGUGAGGAAUAUUGGUCAAUGGGCGAGAGCUUGAACCAGCCAAGUAGCGUGAAGGAUGACUGCCCUACGGGUUGUAAACUUCUUUUGUUUGGGAAUAAAAGACGCUACGUGUAGCGUUGUGCAUGUACCUUACGAAUAAGCAUCGGCUAAUUCCGUG
rnacentral:rRNA from 1 species